GUGGUAAGCCAUUCUUAUAGACCGUGGCCGCCAUUAGAAGAUGGCGCCGGCUUCCACUGUGGCCUGUGAUAAACAACUCCUUUUUUGGAGAGUUGGCGCGCAAUCCCUUACCACCCUAUGAGAGAGAUCCACGUGGCAGCUUGGGAUUGGUAUGCGGGAGGCUUUAUUAGGCUGUGCUUGGGCGCUCAGCGGGGGGGUCGCUAGAAGAUGAUACUUGAAUCAAGGCCUGAAUAAACUGCUGAAAGAAGAAUCCUGUGUCGUGUUUUCCCUUGCCGGCGAGGGGUUGCGACAAUUGGUGGCCCGGACGGGGAAUUAUAUUCCUCCAACCCAGGAUCCAGAACUUUCAGCAGUCAGGGUGGUGCACCGGUAAGUUCCCAGGUAAAGUGGGAAUCCGCAAGCAAAUAGCGGGGCACUCUCUCUGUAAAUAGAGGUAGAGCGGGAAAAAGGACGCUCCCCUGUAAAAGGAAGAGAGCGGGGAUUUUUGUACCUUCACUUUCUUUAUAGUUCUAAAAACAUUAUGGGCGCUACUUCUUCAAGCCCAAUUUUGUUGGCCCUAGAUGGGUUGUUACAUUCAAAAGGACUUAAGAUAAAGCAGAGUACUUUGCAGAUGUUUUUAAGAGAAGCUGAUAUAGCGGCUCCUUGGUUUGCUUUUUCAGGGAGUCUUACGAUUCCUAGCUGGGACAAAUUAGGGAAAGAUCUAGAUUUCGCUCGUGAGCAAGGCACCUUAGAGGGUGGCGUUAUACCACUUUGGAAGUUAGUUAGAGGAUGUAUAACAGAUGGUAAAUGCCAAGAAGCUGUGAGUGAGGGUCAGGCUGUUCUUGAACAACUACAUGAGGAAAAAUCUGAAGGAUCACGUAGUGAAG
rnacentral:lncRNA from 1 species